GUGCGGGUCUUUGGGCCACCUCCCAUCCGUGUCUAUUAUACCCUGUUGCUUCGGCGGGCCCGCCGCUUGUCGGCCGCCGGGGGGGCGCCUUUGCCCCCCGGGCCCGUGCCCGCCGGAGACCCCAACACGAACACUGUCUGAAAGCGUGCAGUCUGAGUUGAUUGAAUGCAAUCAGUUAAAACUUUCAACAAUGGAUCUCUUGGUUCCGGCAUCGAUGAAGAACGCAGCGAAAUGCGAUAACUAAUGUGAAUUGCAGAAUUCAGUGAAUCAUCGAGUCUUUGAACGCACAUUGCGCCCCCUGGUAUUCCGGGGGGCAUGCCUGUCCGAGCGUCAUUGCUGCCCUCAAGCCCGGCUUGUGUGUUGGGUCGCCGUCCCCCUCUCCGGGGGGACGGGCCCGAAAGGCAGCGGCGGCACCGCGUCCGAUCCUCGAGCGUAUGGGGCUUUGUCACAUGCUCUGUAGGAUUGGCCGGCGCCUGCCGACGUUUUCCAACCAUUUUUUCCAGGUUGACCUCGGAUCAGGUAGGGAUACCCGCUGAACUUAAGCAUAUCAAUAAGCGGAGGUAUCAUUACCGAGUGCGGGUCCUUUGGGCCAACCUCCCAUCCNUGUCUAUUAUACCCUGUUGCUUCGGCUGGCCGCCGCUUGAAGGACGCGGGGAGGGCUCCUUUGCUCGCGGCCAGCCCCUAAACCCACAGACAAGUCUGUAAAAGCCGUCUCUUUGAGUUACAUCACACGCGAUACGGGUAGACAGUGCAUCGUGAUGUUCCUUGGGAUCGGCAUUGAUGAAACAACGCGACUAAACGGUAUCGUAAGAUGUAGUGCUAAGAUGCUGAAUAUNAAACAUUUAGCACGCAUUCCUUCUAGUGACUAUAGAGAGAUAGAAGUACAUGAACUUUCAGUGCUGAGAUCGCAGUGUGUGAGCAUCCCUGCACUUCAGCG
rnacentral:rRNA from 1 species